rnacentral:rRNA from 1 species
AACGCGAAGAACCUUACCCAGGUUAGAAGUGCAGGAGACGAUAUUAGAGAUAGUAUUUCCCGAAAGGGCUGCUGUAUAGGUGCUGCAUGGCUGUCGUCAGCUCGUGCCGUGAGGUGUUGGGUUAAGUCCCGCAACGAGCGCAACCCUUAUCAUUAGUUGCCAACACGCGAGGUGGGGACUCUAGUGAGACUGCCUAGGUUAACUAGGAGGAAGGUGAGGAUGACGUCAAGUCCGCAUGGCCUUUAUGUCUGGGGCUACACACGUGCUACAAUGGUCGGUACAAAGGGCAGCGAAAUCGCGAGAUGGAGCAAAUCUCAGAAAAACCGAUCUCAGUUCGGAUUGUAGUCUGCAACUCGACUACAUGAAGUUGGAAUUGCUAGUAAUGGCGGGUCAGCAACACCGCCGUGAAUACGUUCCCGGGCCUUGUACACACCGCUCGCGA